rnacentral:rRNA from 1 species
UACGUAGGGGCCGAGCGUUGUCCGGAGUUAUUGGGCGUAAAGCGCGCGCAGGCGGCUUCGCGCGCCCGACGUGAAAGCCCCCGGCUUAACCGGGGAGAGUCGUUGGGGACGGCGGAGCUUGAGGGCGGGAGAGGUCGGUGGAAUUCCCGGUGUAGUGGUGAAAUGCGUAGAGAUCGGGAGGAACACCUGUGGCGAAGGCGGCCGACUGGGCCGACCCUGACGCUGAGGCGCGAAGGCGCGGGGAGCGAACGGG